rnacentral:hammerhead_ribozyme from 1 species
AUUCGGCUGACGAGUCUCAAAUAGGACGAAACGCACGUCAUGGAU